ACAUGAAAAACAGUGAUAGAUGGACUUCUCAACCUUGGCUUCAGGAUAAAAUCCAACGCAAGUUUGAGGUGACCGAGUGAAACAUGAUUAUCUAUUUCUGCUCAGCUAGCAACACUGGACAUCAAACACACGAAGCCCACAACUAACAGGAAACUCAAACUCAUUAAAUGGCUACAAAGCAAAAAGUUACUAGCAAGGAGAGUAAAGUGCUCAAGAUGUGGCCAUAAUAUGAGAAUGAAGAGAGCUACAUCUCGAAAUCUCGACGGUUUUCAUUGGAUGUGCAGACAUAAAAGUCAUCGAGGCAAGAAAACCAGCCGAUCAGUGCGAGUCGGGUCUCUCUUCGAGAGAUCAAAACUCAGCUUGUCAUCUUGGCUAAUAUUCAUUUACAGGUUUGCUCAGGGAUUGCGGAUUAGACAAAUUGAUAUGAUGCAAGAUGGCAUUGCAAAAAGUUCCAGAACCCUCUCUAAGAUGGCUCGUAUCAUGAGGAAAGUUUGCCACUGUGCUAUAAAACGAUACAGACGAAGACAUGGACAAAUGAUUGGAAGUGCUCGAGAAUUUGCUGUUCUUGAUGAAAGUAACUUCCGUCAUAAACGAAAGUAUGGACGAGGGAGAGCAUCAACAACAUGGAGGCGAAAAAAAUGGGUCUUUGGCAUGCUAGGUGUGAGGGAUAAAUGCAGACACCCAAUCUUGCGGCUUGUGAAAAGAAGAUCAAGACCUCACCUAAUCCCCAUAGUUGUAAAACAUGUGCGUCCAGGCACUACCAUUAUUUCAGAUGAGUGGAGAGCCUACCGGGGGGCUUUGGCCAAUAUGGGCUACAAACAUUUUACAGUGAACCAUUCCCAGUGGUUUGUAGACCCACACAGUGGAGCUCAUUCACAACACCUUGAAAGAGCUUGGUUGACAUACAAAACAAGUGUAUGGAGACUAAGGGGGAACAGGACAGAGAAAAUGCUAAAAGAGCACCUCUCUCUCAUAGAGUGGACUCAUUGGCUUGGUGAAAAAAAUAAACGGGGGCCACUUGGGCGCCUAAUAAAAGAUAUUCACCAUCAAUUUCCUGUUUAGAGGACAACACACUGAACUUUUGAUUGUGUUUUAUGUAAUAUUUAAGUAAAAUACAAGUUAACUUGUCCUCUUGAUUUAAGGUGCACUGAUAUUUAAAAGCUUUGUUUAAUAAAAUGUGUAUUUUACCUUUUUAA